GAGUCGCUAGCUCAGCUGGUAGAGCACCGGCCUUUUAAGCCGAGGGUCGGGGGUUCGAGCCCCCCGCGACUCACAG
rnacentral:tRNA from 1 species